rnacentral:rRNA from 1 species
AACGAACGCUGGCGGCAUGCCUAACACAUGCAAGUCGAACGGGAUCCUAGCUUGCUAGGUGAGAGUGGCGGACGGGUGAGUAACACGUGGGAAUCUGCCUUUUGGUUCGGGAUAACCGCGGGAAACUGCGGCUAAUACCGAAUGCCCUCGUGAGAGGAAAGAUUUAUCGCCAGAAGAGGAGCCCGCGUCCGAUUAGGUAGUUGGUGGGGUAAAGGCCUACCAAGCCGACGAUCGGUAGCUGGUCUGAGAGGAUGAUCAGCCACACUGGGACUGAGAUACGGCCCAGACUCCUACGGGAGGCAGCAGUGGGGAAUAUUGGACAAUGGGGGCAACCCUGAUCCAGCAAUGCCGCGUGAGUGAUGAAGGCCUUAGGGUUGUAAAGCUCUUUUGCCAGGGAAGAUGAUGACUGUACCUGGAGAAUAAGCCCCGGCUAAACUUCGUGCCAGCAGCCGCGGUAAU